rnacentral:rRNA from 1 species
GCGUUGUCCGGAAUUAUUGGGCGUAAAGAGCUCGUAGGCGGUGUGUCGCGUCGGCCGUGAAAACCUGCAGCUUAACUGUGGGCUUGCGGUCGAUACGGGCAUCACUGGAGUUCGGCAGGGGAGACUGGAAUUCCUGGUGUAGCGGUGAAAUGCGCAGAUAUCAGGAGGAACACCAGUGGCGAAGGCGGCGACCUGGGCCAAUAUUGACGCUGAGGUGCGAAAGCGUGGGGAGCAAACAGG